AAAAAACAAACAAACAAAGUCAAUGGUGGAAGCUCCCUUGACAUACAUAUUGGUUGACCAAGGAUUUAUUAACGCUUCUAUACUGAGAUUCGAAUCCCAGAUACUGCGGUUUAUUAGCAGAUUUGCAGAUUAAUGAAAGCAAAUGUGCAUGAAAUUUCCAACGAUGUACAAUUAUAACCGUUCGCCAGGAUUCUACGCAGAGAAUAUCAUUGAAGCUCUCCAUCAAGAGCAUUGAAAAGAAGAAUGAGGUAUCAUAUGUCGUAAAUCUAAUAAGGGUCAGAAAGAAUUGUCCGUAGUAGAAUCGUUUAUAUAACAGCUUUUAUAAUUUGCAAUAAAUAAUAAAUCUAAGACGACAAAAAAAAAGUAAGUGAAAUUUUGAGAAAGUUCUUUCUUGUUUGCAAAAACAACCCUAUUUUUAUACCAA
rnacentral:sRNA from 1 species